GCGGCGGCGGCGGCGGGCUCCUAGAGAAUGCUAACCCCCUCAUCUAUGAGCGAUCGGGGGAGCGGCCGGUGACGGCGGGUGAAGAAGAUGAGGAAGUGCCGGACAGCAUCGAUGCCCGGGAGAUCUUCGAUAUCCGUCGCUGCUGGGCGCUGGUGGGACAGUGGGGGCUUGGCGUAUCGGGAAGAAGUGAUGUGCAACACGCUGGUGGAAGGGUGUCCGGGUUAGGCGAGCCCGCAGAGAUUUUAACUGGGCCAAAACUUAGAGUUCCUUUUCCUUCACUUGGCACAUCUUAUUCGCUCCAUUAAUGACCCGGAGCAUCCACUGACACUGGAGGAAUUGAACGUAGUAGAGCAGGUUCGAAUUCAGGUUAGCGACCCGGAGAGCACAGUAGCAGUGGCCUUCACACCCACCAUCCCUCACUGCAGCAUGGCCACACUUAUAGGCCUUUCUAUCAAAGUCAAGCUUCUGCGAUCCCUUCCCCAGCGGUUCAAGAUGGAUGUGCACAUUACGCCGGGCACCCACGCCUCAGAGCAUGCAGUGAACAAACAACUUGCAGAUAAGGAGCGAGUGGCAGCUGCCCUGGAGAAUACCCACCUGCU
rnacentral:lncRNA from 1 species